rnacentral:lncRNA from 1 species
GAGCAUCUGGUUUGUUUUUAUUCCGAAGUACCAAUAUGCUGUUUCAUAAUUAUAUUUUAAAGAAGUCAAUGUUUGUAUGACUGUUGCAUUGGAGGCCAGUUAAAUAAGUUUAAACAAUCAUUAUAGUAUUUAUUUUAGAUUUACUAAUAUAUAUUGAGUUCAAGAAUAUAUAUAACUCUAGUCUAGUCACUUUUAUAUACAUGUACAAAUGUAUAAAGAUUUAUAUUCACUGCCUGUACAUUUACAAAGUGUAAAAUGUAUUAAGUAGGAUUAAUAGGCAGUAUAAAUAUUUUUUACUGUUCCAAGGCGUGUAACACAAUUUUGUACUUUACUUAUAAUUUCUACUAUAAUAAGCAGCAGAAGUGUGUUUUAGGACAUAAUGUUUUGUUAAGUUUCAGUCAGAUUUGUUUUGUUGUGGGGUUUAAAACAAUAUUUAAAAAUGAUUUAAGUUGGUCUUUUACUAUGUUGUUAUACGAAAUUUGUUUGGUAAUAUUUUUAAUUGUUGAUAUAUUUUCGUGGCACAAGCAUUUAAUCUCUCAUGAAGAUGAAAUUAUACUGCUAUACUGAAGAAAGCCUGCAGAAGGGGAGAUGAUUCUAAUAAAAAAUAAGUGACAUCCUGGCAUGAAUAGAAUUGGUAUAAAAAGGGCUCACUAAGUUAACUGGUUUAUUUGGUUUAACAAUGUAAGAUGAUACAGAGACUUCAGUGAUAGUUCAUCAACUGCACACUUGCCUUACCUAUUAAGGGACUAGACAAGUUGGCUAUAUCCUUGUUGUCAGCAUGGUCAGUGGACUCAUUAAGCUUUGGUCAGUCUUUUGAGAUGGAGUUUGUACAUAUAAUAUCCAGUUUUUACCCUACUUAAAAUGAGUUCUUAAAUUUGGCCCAUGUCAACUUUGGGUCUAUCAUUGUCUUGCAUCUGUUACCAUAACAUUUUCAUACUUUCAUCUUGUCUCAAGUAGGUGGCUUGAUGAUCAGUUUAGAAAACUUCUGUUUAUCAACCUGUCAUAUUAAGUUUUUAUAACCUAGUUGUUAUAUGAUACAAUACAGAUGAAGGUAAUUUAUCCCCCUAACAUAUAUAGAAUGUUAUAUGUUCUGCGAUGAUCUUGUCCGUCCAUCUGUAACUUUCAUUUAAUAUUACUCAGCUUCUGAAGGAAGGAUUUUAUAUUUGGUUUCAACUUUAAGAUGUUUUAAUAGUGGAAGCCAUUUACAGAUUUCACAAACAGUCACUUCAUGUUGGGGAUACUUUAAAAUUGAUUAUACCUAAUGAGCAUAGACUUUUUCAUCAAUAUACAAUAAAAAGAAAGCAAGUGGGGAAAUGUUUUGCAUGACAUCAUAUGUAACUUUUGUUUACAUUUCAAAUUUCAAAUUGGUUGUUCAAUAGACCUUCACACAUGUCCAAUAAAUAUUAAAGAAAUAUAGGUGGUAACGAAAAGGAAUGAUUUCCCUUCUGUUGGAGAUUUCUUGUUCAUGUUGUUGUUUAUGUGCCAAAAUGAGCCCCAAAAAAGAUUAUAAACAUAGGCAGCUAAAUAAAUGAAUGUUGACUUUUGUUCAACUUAAAAACAAUUUUAUUUCAUAAUAAAACCUAAUUCACAUACAUGAUAUUUUUACUUAUUGAAGGCUAGUAGCUUUUACCUUGCAUGUCAAAUAACAAAAAGUUAUGAAUUUGCAUUGAUAAUUUUCCUCCUUUAUGAGGGAAUAAUGAGUGUACAAAUGAGUAGAUAUACAGUGACAUAGUCUUUCAGUUUUUGAUUUGUUAAUGUCAAAACCAAGCCAUUUUAAUAACAGUUUUACUAACUGUCAUAUGAUAGAAAUUGGGAGUGCAUUCCAGAGUUAUCUUAUCAAUAUAUCAAUUGUACAUAUCUUUUAUGUUAAAAGGACUGAGACUUCAUAUAUACAGUACUUAAUGUAUACAGUAUGAAUGUUCUUUAUUUAAUGAAUCAUUGAUUUUGAAUUUAUAUAGAUAAUGAUUUACAUUAUGUUAAAGGGGCACUAGCUGUCAAAUUCAUGGUCACCGAUUUGACUCAAAUUCUGUUAUUUGAUUUAUAACAAUGUAAAACAUUUAUCCAAACUAUCAAAAGUCUAAAAUAAACAGUUUACAGAGCAUGGGGUAGAUAAUAUAUAGGUUCGUUUCGUGUGUAUUUUAGUCCAGACGCCAUCAAAUUUACUAUUGAUUUGACCUCAGAUGACCAUAUAAGCGAUGUAAACAUAAAUAAAGAUAUGAAUAGAUUAAACCAACACGUGCAAUUGGAUCUUUAUCGGUCUGGUUGAUUUUAUUUUAUAGAUUAUAAAUAGAUGUUUCUCAUUGCUUUUAACCAUAUAAGAAUGAUUUUAUAUGCAUCGAAUUAGUAAUCAAAUGAUUUACCGUAGUUUCACUUUCAUUGUUGACAUUCUUUUUCUUUAAAUAACCAGUACACAUACAAUGCAUGCGUUGUCAAUCUCUUGCUAGGGGUUAAAUUGAAGUUCACAUGAAUACGGAUUUAAAGAGGUCGACUCAUUCACUUGCAAGUGAAUUACUAAUUAUCAAUGUUUCUUAGCGUAAUUUGACAAAAUUGAACCUUUUUGGCUGCAAAAAGCGAAUUGUUAUUUCACUAUUUCACUUUCAUUAUUGAUUGAACAGAAAAAAAAUCAAACUUUAGAUUUGUUAUAUAUCGCGUAGCUAGUGCCUCUUUAAAGCAUUAAAGAAAUGCGUUUCAUGAAUGUUCCUAUGAUUUGAAUAAUU